GGGUCACUAGCUCAAUGGUAGAGCAGUGGACUCUUAAUCCAUUGGUUCAGGGUUCGAGUCCCUGGUGACCCA
rfam:Stanieria cyanosphaera PCC 7437, complete genome.